UUUUAGCAAGACGAUGUCGCAUCCGGUGAAGAAGACGCCGUAACCAUUUGUGUACCUAUGGAAUCCGAUCAAAAUCUCUGUAACGGAUGAGUUUCUGCUUAACUCCUCCAUCAAUUGACUCAUUAAACUGCAUUCAACUUCCUUCCCCUCCGCUCAUUAUUUGAGCCUCAUCAUCGUCAAAGAUGCUUAAACACCACUGAUAUCCAUCUGCUGAGAAGAAAGCCGGUGAGCUGAUAGGCGUUGAACUCAUCGAUUUGAAGAUACGUUGGUUAUUAAUUUCUUUGCUUUCAUUUAUCAACUUUUCAAUUUGAUGUUAUCUUAUUUCACUUCCCCUUAUCAGUCUUCGCUAAUCCAGACAUCAAUAUGUGUUCACCGGCUUAACACUUCCCGACAUCAUCUCAGUGAAGGUUUUGUGUACUAGCUCAGUGGUUUCGAUGUCAUACAGACUCCCCUGUCUCCAUUCGAUUCAAUGAUGGUACUUCGUUUGCAGCAAAAACUGAAUCGAACUGCAAAGAAGGGAGUUUUGUUCAGCAUUGGAGUGAUUUGUUAUUUACUACAUCUGGUCUUUACUGGUAGAGUAGAGAUUCACAAUAUCGUCAAUCUAAGGAACGAUGUAGAGAGGCUUCUUGAAUGUUAGAACGAUGUAUUGAGACGAAAACAUCAAGAGGUUAUUAAGAUAUGCUGCAAUAUAGAGAAAUUAUUAGAAUUUCAGGUUG